rnacentral:rRNA from 1 species
GUUCUGUAAGCCUGUGAAGGUGUGCUGUGAGGUAUGCUGGAGGUAUCAGAAGUGCGAAUGCUGACAUAAGUAACGAUAAAGCGGGUGAAAAGCCCGCUCGCCGGAAGACCAAGGGUUCCUGUCCAACGUUAAUCGGGGCAGGGUGAGUCGACCCCUAAGGCGAGGCCGAAAGGCGUAGUCGAUGGGAAACAGGUUAAUAUUCCUGUACUUGGUGUUACUGCGAAGGGGGGACGGAGAAGGCUAUGUUGGCCGGGCGACGGUUGUCCCGGUUUAAGCGUGUAGGCUGGUUUUCCAGGCAAAUCCGGAAAAUCAAGGCUGAGGCGUGAUGACGAGGCACUACGGUGCUGAAGCAACAAAUGCCCUGCUUCCAGGAAAAGCCUCUAAGCAUCAGGUAACAUCAAAUCGUACCCCAAACCGACACAGGUGGUCAGGUAGAGAAUACCAAGGCGCUUGAGAGAACUCGGGUGAAGGAACUAGGCAAAAUGGUGCCGUAACUUCGGGAGAAGG